rnacentral:misc_RNA from 1 species
AAAAAAAAAAAAAAAAAAAAAAAUAUACUCAUCUUUCCUUUUGAAUGGCUCAACAAAAAAAAUUCAAGACCUCAUCAGUAAUAAUAGUGAGACAACCUAAAUGCCAAAACACAAUCUUCAGAUGGUAGAAACAUUGCCCACGGAGUGAUACAUGUCAGCCAAGCACAACUGGCGAUCUCUAUCAUCCCCCCAGCCCCCCCAUCCCUUGAACCCAGCUUUAUACCCUGGUUGAUUCUCAUAAACAUGCACUUUCCACUUUGAAUUGAUGUUUGCUACCUUAUUAACAUCGUCUACUACAAUAUUUACUGAACCAUUGUCAAUGCACGCAUUUUUCUCCCCAUGUCCCUGAUGCAAACCACACUUCCCAAAAUGAACAGCACUAGUCCUUGGCCCACGUAGUGUGUAAACUGGACCACCAAAUGAGGGAUAAACUGUUGCCCACAUCGUUAUAUCCCAAUUGUAAUCAUCAAAGAAACAAAACUCUCUUGCCUUCGUAUGAAUUUUUCUCCAAGUAGUUCGAUUAAAGGAAUAACCCACAUUUCCCAUUCUCUCAGCAACUAAACUUUCCCAAUUUUCUCCUCUUGAAUUCACAUCAGAAGGUGCUAAAUUUGCAGCAUAGCAAUCUGGACAUUUCAGAGGCUUUAAUGCUGUGAGCAUCUGCAAGUUCCGAUAUGCAUUGGGAAAAAUGAAGUGAUCCUCCUCUAUGAAAAGAAUAUGACCUGACUGCCCCUUUGUCUCUUUCAGACCAUCCCAUACAGUGUUCAUCAUCCACCACCAAUGAUGCUU